CGGGCGGCGCCGGCGCAGGGCGGCCUUCCUCCGGUGAAGAAGAUGAGCGGCAAUGCCUCCUCGACGGCAUGGAGUUGCUCAACGACGUGACGGAGAACAGGCGCUUCCUCCCCACGGGGCUCCAAGGCAUCGACGCGCUUCUUGGAGGCGGCCUGCGCCAAGGCCAGCUCACUGAAAUUACCGGCCAAUCGUCCUCUGGUAAAACACAGGUCUGUCUAUGUUCGGCUUCACAUGUGGCAGCUAUGCAGUUGGGUGCUGUAAUAUACUUGGAUACUAGCAAUUCCUUCUCCCCUAGCCGCAUUGCUCGAAUAGUUGAUGGAUUUCGCAUCUCUUUGGUCACAGAGCCAAAGAAUGUAAAACUCGAGAGGGUCCUGAGCAGCAUCAUUUGUAAGUCUGUGUUUGAUAUAUUCGAUUUGUUUGAAGUACUACGCCAACUCGAAUUGUCACUGAAAAAUAAGGUAAACAAUGGGAGCAGCAAGAUAUGCUUGCUUAUUAUUGACUCAUUAUCAUCUCUACUUGCUCCAAUCAAUGGUGGGAAAUAUCCACAAGGGCGGUCGAUGAUGAUAUCAGUGGCCAUGAUCCUGAAGAAGCUAGCGGAUGAAUACAAUCUAUCUGUUCUGGUAACUAACCAUAUGGUUGCGGGGAAUGGAGCUCCCAAGCCUGCUCUUGGUGAGAGCUGGAAAACUGUUCCACAUGUCCGCUUGGUGCUAUCUCGUGAGCGUGGGAGCAAUAUCUGCGCAGCAACUGUGCUGAAGCACACACUACUGGACCCUUAUGGAAAAUUUGGGAAGCCGCAAUGACAAACUGAGAUCUGUCUGAUGUGAUGUUAUGGGAUGAUUUCGACUCUCAUCCAAGGACCGAGGGAAGGACAGUAACCCUUUGGCCACCUGGCAAUACUGCUGAAAAGGCUUCUGGCCAUGUUAUGAGAUUUGCAGUACCCAGAUGAAUUCAGUAACGUGAUGCUUCAGUUAAGACUAACCAAAAGAGGACUAAUCUUUGUAGUUCAAACUAUAUAAAGAACUUCACCCACAAGGGAUUAGCCUUGUUAUUACAUUUUGGGCCGUUUGUAUAUUAACUAAUCCAAUGGUUUUUGCAUGUUACCUUUGUCUGUGGCAUUACGAUUAACAUAACCACACGUAUAUGUUGCAGAAUGUAUCAGAAAAACCAUCAGUUUUUGUCUGCCAAUUGUUCUAUACGAGACUCUGAAUGCUGGGAAAUAUAUAUUUUUCCAACAAAGGAU